rnacentral:rRNA from 1 species
GACGAACGCUGGCGGCGUGCUUAACACAUGCAAGUCGAACGGUGAACCUCUUCGGAGGGGAUAAGUGGAGAACGGGUGAGUAACACGUGGGCAACCUGCCCCCGGCUCUGGGAUAACUCCAAGAAAUUGGGGCUAAUACCGGAUGUUCACCGCUUCCCGCAUGGGUGGUGGUGGAAAGGGUUUCCGGCUGGGGAUGGGCCCGCGGCCUAUCAGCUUGUUGGUGGGGUAGUGGCCUACCAAGGCGACGACGGGUAGCCGGCCUGAGAGGGUGACCGGCCACACUGGGACUGAGACACGGCCCAGACUCCUACGGGAGGCAGCAGUGGGGAAUAUUGCGCAAUGGGCGGAAGCCUGACGCAGCGACGCCGCGUGGGGGAUGACGGCCUUCGGGUUGUAAACCUCUUUCAGCAGGGACGAAGCGCAAGUGACGGUACCUGCAGAAGAAGCACCGGCCAACUACGUG